GGAGGUAUAGCUCAGUGGUAGAGUGUACGCCUAGCAUGCAUGCAGUCCUGGGUUCAAUCCCCAGUACAUCCG
rnacentral:tRNA from 1 species